rnacentral:rRNA from 1 species
UACGUAGGGGGGCAAGCGUUGUCCGGAAUCAUUGGGCGUAAAGCGCGUGUAGGCGGCUUUGCAAGUCGGGUGUGAAAGCCCUCGGCUCAACCGAGGAAGUGCGCCCGAAACUGCAGAGCUUGAGUACCGGAGAGGGUAGCGGAAUUCCCCAAGUAGAGGUGAAAUUCGUAGAUAUGGGGAGGAACACCGGUGGCGAAGGCGGCUACCUGGACGGAUACUGACGCUGAGACGCGAAAGCGUGGGUAGCAAACAGG